UACGUAGGGACCGAGCGUUGUUCGGAUUCAUUGGGCGUAAAGAGCGUGUAGGCGGCCACUUAAGUCCUGCGUGAAAUCUUGCGGCUCAACCGCAAGCGGUCGUGGGAAACUGGGUGGCUAGAGUGCGGGAGAGGAGAGUGGAAUUCCUGGUGUAGCGGUGAAAUGCGCAGAUAUCAGGAAGAACACCCGUGGCUAAGGCGAAUCUCUAGUACGGUACUGACGCUGAGACGCGAAAGCGUGGGGAGCGAACAGG
rnacentral:rRNA from 1 species